GGUGGCUCAGUGGUAGAGUGCUUGUCUUGCAUGCAUAAGACUGUGGGUUCGAUUCCACAGCACCA
rnacentral:tRNA from 1 species